rnacentral:misc_RNA from 1 species
GGGUUUUGGUCCUCUUUCCUUGUGUACAUUAAUGGCUUCACAACAUAGAAAAUUGGAAUUAAAAUAUAGCAUAUUAAAUUUAUGAUAUAUUAAGCCUGACAAAUUUUUCCAGUAAAUAGAAUAAUAUCAAGCUAACAAACUUUUAUUUGUCUAGAAAACAGAGAUGUACUGUACAUGUAAGAAACAGAAGGGCUUGGGACAAAGCUAGCAACCUACAAAACAAGUCGCAACUACUUUUCACAACCAUACUAUUGCACUUGUUACUUGUACAUUCAUACUCAGCAAUUCACAUUGGCCCCUUAUGCCGAUUGUACAGCUUCAUCAUGAACUCUCCUCUUCCUGGAUAUAGAGAAGUCUUCUACUCUCUAGCUGCAAGAACUGCUGGUCCUUCCACCUUGAAAGUAGCACCCCAGAUUUCUUCCUCCUCAGCAGGAACUGCAGUGAUCUUAUUCUUAGGAUUCUCAAAGCUUCUCAGUUCUCCCACUGCUGUCGAGUAGAAGCAUCCUGCAAAAUCCAAUGGCAUUGUUAAUAGAAACAAGCAUUUCUUUUUUUUCCCCCCUCUAAACAUCAUUUUUUGGUUAUUUAUUUUGUCAUUACACAAAAUAAAAUGGAAUGAUAAGACCAGAAAAUAAGCUAAUUACAACCAUUUUUAUCCUUUUUGAUAUAAUGACAAAACAUAUUGGCUUACAACACAGGGACUAAUUUAAUGUUUUAAUUAUAUGUUUACCACACUGACCUUGUGGAAAAGAAGCUAGUGACUUGCCACAAGCACCUUUAAGCAAAUCAAUAUUGUCAGCAAAGGCCAAGCAUCCAUCAGCAGUGAUUCCCCAAUAGAGAGGAACCUUUCCAAAUUGAUCCUGUCACAUUCCACACCGACCCCAAUUGUAGUUAGAGAAUAAAUACCAACCAAACCUAGCUAGUAGCUUCACCAAGGCAUUAAUUGGUAGGUAAUAACUUACAGAAGCCACAAACAAGGUGGAAGUAGAACUGUCAAAGACAAUGAAAGCAAAGCUCCCACUAAGAUGGCCAACAACAUGGUUGGGAGGAUAGGGUGCCCGGUCACGAAGAGCCUUGUAAGCCUCAAUGACCAAAAUCACUUCAUUUGCAGACUUGGCAAGGCCAUAUUGUUGCCUUAGACUUCCCAAGUUGUCCAGUGCUCCCUCAAACAAGCAGAAGAUAUCAUCCUUAACUGCAAAUGAUCUGGGCUGCAGCAUGGACUCGCUGUGGUGGGUGUAGGCCAACUGCGCGUUAUCUCCGAUCUGUAAGGAUACAGAGGAGGGGUUGGUGUCGACGAAGCGCUUCACCAGCGCAUCCGACGUUAUCUUUGGAGAUGGCGUCCGGCAUCCUGCCGCCACCAGCUCGUCCGGCGGAGAAACGAUGGCGCCGCUAAACACACCCAACAUCUCAAAUCCUCCUGGCGCUUGAAAAGAAAAGAAAAGAAGAAAAAAUCGAAGCGAAGUGAAAUAAUCUGACUCCGGCUUUAACUAAGAGAUUUCACAGAGCUGGAACAAAGUC